rnacentral:rRNA from 1 species
UAGGGAAUCUUCGGCAAUGGACGAAAGUCUGACCGAGCAACGCCGCGUGAGUGAAGAAGGUUUUCGGAUCGUAAAACUCUGUUGUUAGAGAAGAACAAGGACGUUAGUAACUGAACGUCCCCUGACGGUAUCUAACCAGAAAGCCACGGCUAACUACGUGCCAGCAGCCGCGGUAAUACGUAGGUGGCAAGCGUUGUCCGGAUUUAUUGGGCGUAAAGCGAGCGCAGGCGGUUUCUUAAGUCUGAUGUGAAAGCCCCCGGCUCAACCGGGGAGGGUCAUUGGAAACUGGGAGACUUGAGUGCAGAAGAGGAGAGUGGAAUUCCAUGUGUAGCGGUGAAAAGCGUAGAUAUAUGGAGGAACACCAGUGGCGAAGGCGGCCCCCUGGACGAAGACUGACGCUCAGGUGCGAAAGCGUGGGGAGCAAACAGG